AACGCGAAGAACCUUACCUAAGCUUGACAUCCUUCUGACCUCUCCCUAAUCGGAGAUUUCCCUUCGGGGACAGAAGUGACAGGUGGUGCAUGGUUGUCGUCAGCUCGUGUCGUGAGAUGUUGGGUUAAGUCCCGCAACGAGCGCAACCCUUGCCUUUAGUUGCCAGCAUUAAGUUGGGCACUCUAGAGGGACUGCCAGGGAUAACCUGGAGGAAGGUGGGGAUGACGUCAAAUCAUCAUGCCCCUUAUGCUUAGGGCUACACACGUGCUACAAUGGGUGGUACAGAGGGCAGCCAAGUCGUGAGGCGGAGCUAAUCCCUUAAAGCCAUUCUCAGUUCGGAUUGUAGGCUGAAACUCGCCUACAUGAAGCUGGAGUUACUAGUAAUCGCAGAUCAGAAUGCUGCGGUGAAUGCGUUCCCGGGUCUUGUACACACCG
rnacentral:rRNA from 1 species